rnacentral:lncRNA from 1 species
GGUACUUCUGCAUGACGCUGCGGAUGCUGGGCUCGGGCAGCGUGAUCUUCUUGCUGGCCCGGGCCGCCGGCGUGCUCUUGCUCUUCUCCAUCGCCAUCAGGUAGCUGACAUCGGCCAGCACCGCCUCCAGGUCCGCCAUGUUCCCGCUCCCGCCGCCGGGCUGCAGAUGGAGGCUCGGCCGGGGGCAGCCGCCCCCGAGGCGGGGAACGGCGGAACGGGCGGCGGCGGCGGCGGGGUUCGGCCGAGCGCCUCCCGCGUGCCUCGGUGCCGAGCGGCGGCUGCGUGCGUGCAGCGCGGCGGGGCCGCUCCCCGCCCUCCCUCUCUCGCUCUCUUCCCCCCCCCCCCACCCCCCCACCUCUAUCUCCGCUCCCGGGGCUCUCCGCCGGCCCUCAGCCCGCGGCCGCCGCGCCGGGCGGGCGGGAAAGCCCCCCCCGCGGCGCAGCCGCCUCAGCCGGGCCGCUCCGCAGCGCCCCCCGCCCCGCGCCGCCUCCCGCGGGCGCUCGGCCCCGGGCUGCCGGCGGCGGCGGCCAUGGGGCUGCGGUGCGAGGGGCUGCGGCGAAAACGCGGACCUGGAUCGGCGGAGCGGGAGAGGGGACGGGGUGAGACGGGGGAGCGGACGCGCUGCUGGGCUGCGCUCGUGAGCUCAGCGGUCUCUCGCGACCCUCGUUUGGAUCCCACGCUUCUAUGAACCCCGCGGCUCCGUGCCCGGCCCCAUCCCCAUCCCCAUCCCCAUCCCCACGUGCGGCGGUGCUCAGCGCUGUCUGCGUGGCAGCCGGCGCAUAUGCAGAUUUUCGCUCCUCUCUCUCCCGAAUUUCUUCAAAUAUGUC